rnacentral:rRNA from 1 species
GACGAACGCUGGCGGCGUGCCUAAUACAUGCAAGUCGAACGCAGUGGGGACGGGUGAGUAACACGUGGGUAACCUCCAAUCAGAGGGGAUAACACUUGGAAACAGGUGCUAAACCGAUACUGAUGGAUGGACCCGCGGGGCAUUGGCUAGUUGGUGAGGUAACGGCUCACCAAGGCCACGAUGCAUAGACGCCCUGGUAGUGUGAUCGGCCAGACUGGGACUGAGACACGGACCAUACUCCUACGGGAGGCAGCAGUAGGGAAUGUUCGGCAAUGGACGAAAGUAUGACCGAGCAACGCCGCGUGAGUGAAGAAGGUUUACGGUUCGUAAAACUCUGUUGUUAGAUAAGCGGUAUCUAACCAGAAAGCCACGGCUAACUACGUGCCAGCAGCCGCGGUAAUAC